rnacentral:rRNA from 1 species
UACAGAGGUGCCGAGCGUUAGGCGGAAUCACUGGGCUUAAAGCGUGUGUAGGCGGAUGCCUAAGUACCUUGUGAAAUCCCACGGCUUAACCGUGGAACUGCUUGGUAUACUGGGUGUCUUGAGCCACUUAGGGGCUACCGGAACAAAUGGUGGAGCGGUGAAAUGCGUAGAUAUCAUUUGGGACGCCAACGGUGAAAACAGGUAGCUGGGAGUGUGCUGACGCUGAGACACGAAAGCCAGGGGAGCAAACGGG